rnacentral:lncRNA from 1 species
ACCAAUCUUUAGACACUUAAAUUGUCUAAAUGUAAAGAGAAUUAAUGUCACUACAGGCUGCUAAAGAGCAGAAGUUACUGUUGGCAUGACCUGGCAAUAGCCAGGUAUGCCUGGCUCACUCUAAAAGGGUCUGCAUGUCUCUUCCUCGCUGUCUGAUCCUCUUUCUUACUACCUGCCCCUUCUCCCGCUCCCCCCUUCCUCUCCCCAUGUGUUCCUGGCCUGCUUCUCCCUCUCCUCUCCCCACCUCCCGCCUUUCUCUGCCUCCCACCUUCCCCAUGCCCUAAAUAAACUCCAUACCAUGCCUCAGGGGGAGGGGAUGCCUCAGCGGGGGCCUGUGGAGGCAGCCCUUCCACCUCACCCACCAUACAGCGCCUCUACCAACACGGGUGCUGUGCCUGGGAUUUAGAAACUCACAGGUUGCAUGAGCUCAUAUUUCCGUGCUGCCACAUGGACUUUGCAGCCAUGGGAUGGAUCUCUUGCUAGACCUCUCCACCCAAGCACUGGAGAAUUGGUAAAGCUCCCUACUCUCACUGGUCAGCAUAAACGCCCUCUGGUCCCAAGGGAGGGCUGUUGAGCUUGCAGCCACCCCGUGGUGUCCUGGUCUUCUUACUGAUGCUUCGUUCUCGGACCUCUACCCCUGGGUGAGUGCUCUCUCUGUCUCUGUCUCUCUUUCUCUGACGGUUUUUCUCUUGGCUUCUCUUGCACACUGCUGAAAAAAUCCUACGCUUAGGCAAACCAUCCUCCCUCAGGCUCUGAGCCCCACACACAGCUCGUGCACUGGUCCCGCAGCUCAGCUGCUAGUUCACUGCGUGGCUGGUGAUCUGUUUUGGCUGCCUCUGUUUCUAGCUAUCACAUUUGUACUAGAGACACCGGGGAACGGGGAAGUCACUUGCUCCUAUUCUCACCCAGAAGGGAAUAUCUUUGCUAGCACGUCUCCUGGUUAAAAUUUGGCCCCUAUACCCAUCAAAGAAUAACUCUAAAUGGCCGUUUACUGGAACUUUAAUAGCAAACUUUUACAACUCUCUAGCUAGCGAUCUGUAGACCAUUCCCUACCCCACGUUUUCUUGCUGCUUGCUCUCCACUCCCGGUUCCCUGCUCCCCUGAUUCUGCCGCCACCACGUACUUUCCAUCCGCCCCUCACUCUCUGUUCAGGGCGGUGCUGCCUGACAAUCCUGAGCUCUCCACAUUCCCCCUUGCUGUCUCCCUCCCUGUUUGACCUGACUCCACAGCAGCCAGUUGACUAGAGCUCUGGCAGCAAGGACACAGCUGCAGCUACGGCCCCCCAGCCCCGCCUACUCAACCCUGCCACCCAGUGCUCUGUGGCACGGCGUGAUCUCUCGCGCGCGCCCCACCGCCCUGAGUGCCUGGAGCACACUUGCUCUCCAACCUGAGCAGAGUUGCUAGAAGACAGAACGCUGCUUCAGGCGCUGCUCUCUACUCUUGACCCCCAUGCUGAUAUUCUGCUCUGCCAAGCCACAGGCACACUCCCGUAGCCAUCGCUUGCCGCCAAGCCACGCCCCUCACGCUGCACUGCUUAGAUUCAUCAGUCUCCGAAGAAGAUAUGGGCACAGUGACAAGAUUCUACCUGGACUGUGGAAAAGCUUCUUGUCUUCUGCGAAUGAGGCCAGAUUGACUUUGCCCGAGGGACCACAGGGACCUGGGAACUGUUUAGGUGGCUCCACAGACCCUGGACAGCAAGGAAACAGCAACUCUCCUACAUGUGGACCAACAUCCCCAUGCCCAUUUUCUUAGGUUUCCCAGAGACACAGCGCUCCAAAGUCAGCAGGAAACAACUAAAGAUCACUAUGCCCCUAAUCCUGCUUCACCAUCAUCUCUAGUUUUUCCUUUUUUUUUUUUAAUGAAACCAAAAUGGAAGAAUGUUAGCAUUCUGUCUAGGCUCCUCCCAGCAGUUACCUGGCAACAGCCAUGUAUGCCUGAUUCACUAUAAACGGAGCUGCUUGCCCCCUCCUCACUCUCUUAUCCUCUUACUCUCUGCCCCUUCUCCCUCUCUCCCCCUCCCCUUCCCCCUCUCCCUCUCUGCCUUUCUCUCUCUCUACCCCCUCAGCUCCCCUCCCCAUGCCCUAAAUAAACUCUAUACAAUACUAUACCCGUUGUAUAGCUGGUACUUCAGGCAGAGGGACUCCUCAGCGUGGGCCUGGGGAGGCACCCCUUCCACCUCACCAUACAGCGUUUCUACCAAAACACAUACGGGCUCUUUCUUUCCUUCUCUCUUAUAAAGCACAACAGCCA